rnacentral:rRNA from 1 species
GAUGCAGCCNUGCCGCGUGUGUGAAGAAGGCCUUCGGGUUGUAAAGCACUUUCAGUUGUGAGGAAAGGGGAGUAGUUAAUAGCUGCUUUCUGUGACGUUAACAACAGAAGAAGCACCGGCUAACUUCGUGCCAGCAGCCGCGGUAAUA